rnacentral:rRNA from 1 species
GACGAACGCUGGCGGCGUGCUUAACACAUGCAAGUGGAGCGACGAACCAGGGCUUGCCCUGGGGCAGAGCCGCGAACGGGUGAGUAACACGUGGGUAACCUGCCCAGAUGACCGGGACAACCCGAGGAAACUCGGGCUAAUACCGGAUGUGCUGUCCCCACAUCAGUGGGGUUAGGAAAGGUAGCUUCGGCUUCCGCAUCUGGAUGGGCCCGCGGCCCAUUAGCUUGUUGGUGAGGUAACGGCUCACCAAGGCUUCGAUGGGUAGCUGGUCUGAGGGGACGGUCAGCCGCACGGGAACUGAGACACGGCCCAGACUCCUACGGGAGGCAGCAGUGGGGAAUGUUGCGCAAUGCGCGAAAGCGUGACGCAGCAACGCCGCGUGCGGGAAGACGGCCUUCGGGUUGUAAACCGCUUUCAGUUGGGACGAAGCCUUUGCGGUUAAUAGCCGUGGAAGGUGACGGUACCUUCAGAAGAAGCCCCGGCUAACUACGUGCCAGCCGCCGCCGUAA